ACUGCUUCUCUGCCUUUAGGCUAAGAUCAAGUGGAGUAUCUGUUCUUAUCAAUUUGAUAUUGCCCUUUUAGGCAUUCCAAAGUCCAUUCUACCAAAA
ensembl:snRNA U2 U2 spliceosomal RNA